rnacentral:tRNA from 1 species
GGGUCUGUAGCUCAGCUGGUUAGAGCACCGUCUUGAUAAGGCGGGGGKCGUUGGUUCGAACCCAACCAGACCCACCA